ACAAUUUUUUGUCAACUCACAUUGUCAUGAGUAAAUUUGCUUUUAAAUUUUAAGCAUGACAGAAAUGCAAAAUGCACAUGGUAUCAUAGAUGUCCUUGCAGACAUGUAGACUCGAAGAUCAAAAGAGGGCUUAAGCAAGAGGUUAUUGUCGACUUGGUGGAGCAGUGUCAUACAUACAAGAGACAAGCGGUAUACCUGGUCAACUCCACCUCCAAUGAAUCACUAUUAAGUCAAGGAUUAUGAUGCAGUAGUAGUCAGCCCAUCUGACCCGACCCGCAAUGGAG